rnacentral:rRNA from 1 species
CCAGAACACAGGUGCUGCAUGGCUGUCGUCAGCUCGUGUCGUGAGAUGUUGGGUUAAGUCCCGCAACGAGCGCAACCCUUGUCAUUAGUUGCCAUCAUUAGUUGGGCACUCUAAUGAGACUGCCGGUGACAAACCGGAGGAAGGUGGGGAUGACGUCAAGUCCUCAUGGCCCUUAUGGGUAGGGCUUCACACGUCAUACAAUGGUCGGUACAGAGGGUUGCCAAGCCGCGAGGUGGAGCCAAUCCCUUAAAGCCGAUCGUAGUCCGGAUCGUAGUCUGCAACUCGACUACGUGAAGUCGGAAUCGCUAGUAAUCGCAGAUCAGCACGCUGCGGUGAAUACGUUCCCGGGCCUU